GAUGAACGCUGGCGGCGUGCCUAAUACAUGCAAGUCGAGCGGAGUUGAGAAGCUUGCUUCUCAACUUAGCGGCGGACGGGUGAGUAACACGUGGGUAACCUGCCCUUAAGACUGGGAUAACAUCGAGAAAUCGGUGCUAAUACCGGAUAAUUUAUUUGAUCGCAUGAUUGAAUAAUGAAAGGUGGCGUAAGCUACCACUCAAGGAUGGACCCGCGGCGUAUUAGCUAGUUGGUGAGGUAAUGGCUCACCAAGGCAACGAUACGUAGCCGACCUGAGAGGGUGAUCGGCCACACUGGGACUGAGACACGGCCCAGACUCCUACGGGAGGCAGCAGUAGGGAAUCUUCCGCAAUGGACGAAAGUCUGACGGAGCAACGCCGCGUGAGUGAUGAAGGCUUUCGGGUCGUAAAACUCUGUUGUUAGGGAAGAACAAGUACCGUUCGAAUAGGGCGGUACCUUGACGGUACCUAACCAGAAAGCCACGGCUAACUACGUGCCAGCAGCCGCAGUAAUAC
rnacentral:rRNA from 1 species